rnacentral:piRNA from 1 species
UGGGGCUCACGGGACUGGACUCUCUCUGC